GAUGAACGCUGGCGGCGUGCUUAACACAUGCAAGUCGAACGAAGCACUUACGACAGAUUCCUUCGGGAUGAAGAUGUUUGUGACUGAGUGGCGGACGGGUGAGUAACGCGUGGGAAACCUGCCCUACACAGGGGGAUAACAGUUGGAAACGGCUGCUAAUACCGCAUAAGCGCACAGUACCGCAUGGUACAGUGUGAAAAACUCCGGUGGUGUAGGAUGGUCCCGCGUCUGAUUAGCUAGUUGGUGAGGUAACGGCCCACCAAGGCGACGAUCAGUAGCCGACCUGAGAGGGUGACCGGCCACAUUGGGACUGAGACACGGCCCAAACUCCUACGGGAGGCAGCAGUGGGGAAUAUUGCACAAUGGGCGAAAGCCUGAUGCAGCGACGCCGCGUGAGCGAUGAAGUAUUUCGGUAUGUAAAGCUCUAUCAGCAGGGAAGAUAAUGACGGUACCUGACUAAGAAGCACCGGCUAAAUACGUGCCAGCCGCCGCCGUAACAC
rnacentral:rRNA from 1 species